CCUCAAGGUUAUCCAAUCUAGUUUGGCCAAUCUUUUACAUGGAUACAGAUGGAAGUUGCCAAAUGACAUGAAACCUGAGGACCUGGACAUGGAAGAAAGAUUCGGCAUUACUACACCAAGAAAAAUCCCACUUGUUGCCAUUGUUGAGCCUCGGCUUCCUCGUAAUCUUUAUUGACUAUGAUUCACUACGUGUAUGUUUGAUCUCCCAGUAUCAUCAUUAUCAACUUGUGUUCAAAUAAAUCAGCUCUGCAAGUUUAGAAUUUGUAGCUGCGCUUAUAUGUGUUUGCCAAUUGCCACAACGCUACAAAACCCUUGUAGUUGGUGCAUGGCAUAUACGUAAUCACUGAGAUUGUUAUGCGUAUUGAAGUCCAAAUUUGUUCGCAAUUAUGUGAAACUGUGAAUAGGCACACCCCUGAUGUUUCAAAUACAUUCUAUAACACUCUGAUGCUAAUUUAAAUCUGCAAUAGUAGGUUCACAGUCAAAGCAAUGUGCUCUCUGCCAUCUUUCCUCUUAGCAUCUUCCAUCAAUUCCUGUGCACCUCUAAGCCAUGCCACUGGAUUGGUGCUACUUUCCGUACUUGUUGGGAGGAAGAGAGAAAGAGAGAGAGAAAAAAAAAAAGGGCAAAUUACAUUUUAGCCCCCUGUGGUUUUCGAAAAAACCACAUAACCCCCCAUCGUUCAAAAAGCUAUACAUAAACCCCCUGUGGUUUGGGUUGAACUGGCAAAUAGACGGAAAGCAUCCACCGUAACGAUUCGUGGGCAAAACGCGCCUGUUCUUCUGGUAGCAGUAGGAAACAUACCCAUAUUACCCCUGACCAAUUUGACGUACCCAAUAAAGCCUAGAUGGGUGCUCCUCAUCUCUUUCCAUCUUCCGAAAUACUUUGUAGCUGACUUUGCACUGAAUGUUGGUGAAGGAACCCAAGAUAGAGAACGAAGGAAAUCUGAAGGUGAGUUCUAACAUCAAGGUGCAGUCUUUUCCUUUUCCUGAAAUAUGACUUGAAUGGAUUAUUAAUUUUUUUUCAAUAAACUAUAGAUGUCAUGCUCAAGCAGUGCUGGUGGAAGUACUGAAGAUCUAAGGUACCAAUACCUAUUUUGUUCAUGUGGGAGAAAAGCAGCGGUAAAAAUUGUUGAAUCUGACAAACCUUCAAAAGGAAAGCUAUAUUUUGUUUGUGCGACAAGAAGUUGUGAAUUUUUCUCAUGGUGCAAUCCAACAAGGAGAAUAAGACAAAAUUACACUAGUGAUUUGAAUGUUACAAGGAGAGACAUAUUUAGUGGAGAAUCAAGUAUUGAUAGUUCAGAAGUGGAAGGCUUGCGCAUGGAUGGUGGUUUAUAUUUGAGGAAAAUGAAAAACAUUGAAGAAAGCUUAGGAGCCAUGAAGAUUUGCGUGGGUGCUUGUUUUGCUAUAUCUGUGCUAUCAUUUCUCAUUUUGAUGUUUAAGUGAAAAUAAUUCAGAUGAAUUGUGGCUCUAAAAGUGUUGUAAAUCUGAACCUGUUGUGUUCAAUGAAUGAAUGAAUGAAUCUGCUUUGGUAGUCAAUUGAUAUAAUAGGCAAACAUGAUUUCCAGUUGGUAUGAACCUGCUUUGGUACUCACAGGCUGAACUUGGUACUCAUCGAGACAGCAUAGCCAAAAAGCACAUACAUGAGCUAUCCAAAGUGGACAUUUGCAAUGGUUUAAAGCAAAAGAAAGUAUCUCAAUUAAUUUAAGGGAUAAUUUCAGAAACCUCCCCUGAGAGUUGGACGGGUAACUAGUGUGUCAGAGAGUUGCCAUAAUCUCCUUAAACCCGCAUGCGGGUUUAAAGAGUAUUCGGAUAUUCUCAUAUGCACCUAUGCAAAUCGAACCAACCGGAUAUCUUAUCCGUAUCCCAUUUUUUUAAAUAAAAAUCUUAUAAAUUUGAAAAAUAAAAUCAAAUUUAGAUGUAUUAGGGUUUUAAAAAUAUUAUAUAAGUGAUAAAAAUUUUAUAAAUUGUAAAAAUAAAAUCAAAUUUAAAUAAUUAAAUGUUAUAUUUGCAUAAGAAAUAAUACAAUAAUCAUAAUAAUGAUAAUAUAAUAAUAUUGGUGUAAUAAAACUGCCAUUAAUUUAAAUAUUUACUUAUAAUGCCCAAAGAGUCUAAUUACCAAUUUUUUCUUCUCGCGCUCAAAUAUAACAUUAACCCGCAUGCGAGCUAACCUUGAAAUAGAAAAAACACAGAAUCCCGCUUGCGGGUUUCAGUGUUAUUAUGCAGGCGGGAUUUUAACCUGCUUGCUUGUAAACAUGUACCACAUUGCUCUGAAAUUAUCCCUUAAUUUAACUACCAUUAUAGCUAUGCGGCAAGAGUUCAAGUAUAGACAAAUAAGGAGCAGUAAAGGUUCAGACUAAGUUCUAAAGCAAAAAAGCACACAUCAAAAGCCAAUUUCCAAGAUGCCUCAAGCAUGGAACCAAAUUCUGAAGCAUUGAACCAAGCAUUGAACCAAAUUCGUAUGACUUACUUAACAUGGGCUCACACCACUGAACUUUGGAUUCAUUUGACAAUAUAGCUGUCCAGAAGUUCAUAACCAAUUUUUACAAAACAAAAUAAGGUACAUAAGUAGCUAAUCAUUAAGUCCAGCAGACACCAAGAUUCAACAAAAAGUGUAGCAACAACAUAUUAACAGUAGACACCAAGAUUCAACAGAAAGUGUAGCAACAACAUAUUAAAAAAAAGCAUUUGCAGACAAAUAACUUAAUUGAAUUACAAACACGUUUAGCCCUCUUAGUCCUCACAUUCUAGAAACACGUUUAGCUUUCUUAGCCCUCAAAUUUUCCAACACACUUGCAACUGUUGGUACAAGUUUUCUGACUCUAGUUGAUCUUCUAGUAUCCAAAAUGGGUUCAACAGCAGAAGCAGUUCUUGUAGUAUCCAAAACAGGUUCAACAGGUUCAUCAGUUGGUCUUCUAGUGUCCAAAACAGGUUCAACAGGUUCAUCAGUUGGUCUUCUAGUUUCAAAAACUGGUUUAGCAGCAGAAGUUUCACAAGGCUGCAUAAAUAGAUAGGUUUAAGUCAGUUAAAUGCAGUAAUUGCAGUAAUAACCAUCAUCAUUAAUAGUACCUGUGACACUGAACCCUGUUGUGAGACAGAUCCAAUACUUGUAUUUCCAGCAUUUACAACAUCUUCACCUGCAUUUCCAGCAUCACUAGCUCCAGCAGGCACCUAUUUUAAUGGUAACACAUAAGGUAACAAAUUAAGUACAUAUGACACUGAUUACAAAUUAACUACUACUUACCUUAUAAAACUUGGACUUUGGAUGGAUUGGGAAUUUACAAGUCCUAGAAUUAUGUCCUGGCCUAAAACACUUCUUACAGUGCACAACAAGUCCUUUUCUUGUAGAUGUGGUGCCUCUAACUUCAUCAGCUUCUCUUCUUCUCACUUUCUUGGGUCUUCCAGGUUGCUUUCUAAUCUUUGGGGGAUUCACCUUUUCAGCUCCUUUUGAAUCGCAAUAGUCUUCAGAGGGCAUUGCAGCUAUAGUGUAGUUAUAGGUGCUCAAGUAUGCUUCUUUGCUAUAACAAGGAUCAACAUAGUGUUCAGGCUCUGAUUUAUCCCUUUGAAUGGCAGCAAUAGAAUGUGAGCAUGGAAUCCCACUUAGUUGCCAUGAUCCACAUGUGCAUGUUCUACGACUUAUAUCAACAACAUAUACUCUAGUCCCACAAUCCACUUCAUACUCAGCAUCCCGAGAAUAAUGAGCUAUGCAGAACCUACUAUUUAGCUUGUUCCUCUCAAGUCGUUCUUGUAUGUUUGGACAAAGGUUCCCUUCAUACUGUUGCAUGCCUUCCCUUUUCACAUUUAGCCUCUGCAUGAGUUUUCUUCUUAUCCACUCAAACAUGGAGAUGAUUGUGAACUCUCUUGCUGGAAGUAUGUAGGAAUUAAAUGACUCAUUCAAAUUAUUAACAAGAAUAUCACUCUUGCAUGAGGAGCUGAAAUGUGACCUGGACCAUAAAUGUGCAGGAAUCCUGUUUAACCAACCAGCUGCAUUCAUAGCUUCUCCCACCUUUGGAUCAGCCCUUUCCAAUUCAGCCAUUGCUAUCUUGAAGUCACGAAUGUUCCCAGCAGACGCAGCUGCCCAAAAGUACUCCUUCAACUCCUUUCCCUUGAACUUCUGUUUGAAAUUUUGAUAUAUAUGACGAAGGCAGUACCUAUGCUCUGAUUCAGGAAACACAUCAUCAAUUGCACUGACUAAUCCUUUUUGCCUAUCAGAUAUGAAUGUCCAUGGAGCUCCAUUUUCAGCACCAACUUCAAUUUUCAACUCCAUCAAAAACCAUUUCCAUGAGUCAUAUCUCUCGGCUUCCACUACAGCCAUUGCAAUGGGAAACAUGUUAUCAUUGCCAUCCCUACCCAUAGCUGUCAAAAGUUGUCCACCAAAUGGACUUUUUAAAAAGCAGCCAUCUAAUCCAAUUAUUCGUCGACAACCAGCUAGAAACCCAUUCUUCAUUGCACUUAAACUCCAAUACAUUCUUUCAAAUAUCCCAACCUCGUUCUCAUCCAGUCUAGUCACUUGCAGGACAAUAUGGCUACCAGGAUUCCGGAUCAACAAGGUAGCAGCAUAAUCUCUGAUGACAUUAUACUGUCUUAUAUCAUCCCCUUGUAGUGCCUCUCUUGCCAAUCUUUUAGCUCUAUAAGCCUGUCUCAUGCUUAUGUCCACCAUAAUCUCUCUCCUCACAGUCAUGACAAAUCCUUCAAUAGAAGAACUUGGUUCAUCUCUGAACCUGUCUAAAUAUUUUUUGCUCAAAUAUCUUGCAUUUGCAUGAUGAUUGCUGUAUUCUCUUCCACACACAUGCACUCCCUUUAUUGAUUUGAUCUGAAAGGUGCUUUCAUUUUGAAUUGGGCUUGCCCGUAUUUUCCAAGAACAACCCUUUUUGCACAUGGCAAUAACUUUUGCUCUUUCAUUUUUUUUGUACUUCAUGGUGUAGCCUUCCCUGACAUUCCAUUCCACAAGUGCUUCUCUAAAGGCCCGUAAGUUCUUAAAUUUAUCCCCAACUUUCAACUCAAAAUCUGACUUUCUGAAUUCAACUGCAGCAUUAAAAUCUCGACAACUAUUACCUUUCCCAUUUCUUUCAUCAUCUCCUCACAUAGUGUCAAGCAGUUCUUCAUCAUCAAUAGCAAAUUCAUUCCACUCUUCAUUAGUUUUAGAACUCUCCCCUUCUUCAAAUUUGUUCUUAGAAGAGCCUGGUGUUUGCAGAUCCUCCAUUGUAUAUGUCUGGUUCGCUGUUGUUGGUUCUUCAUCUGUGCCUUUUGCCUGCUGCUGAUUUUCUAUUUCAUUAGCCUUUGCUCUGUUUGCAAAAAUAUCCUCAUCUUCUGGUCCUUCUAAUCCCUCUUUCAACCACUCAGGCUCUUCUAAACUAUCAGAUGUAGCAUCACCGUACUCAUCUUCAUUUUCAGGCUGUUUUUCAACUUCAUCUUGCUUUUCUACAGCUUUUUCACCUUUUUCCUUUGCUGAAUUAGACUCUGCUUUGCUGUGCUUUUUGUUUCCAGUUAGCUUGGUCUGUCUUCUCACUGACUUCUUGACUAUCUGUUUCCCCUUUUUGUUUGCUAACUUUUUUGGGGUAUCUUUAUCAGAUGCCACAUUUUGUGCUCCACUAUGUGGGGCAUCAGUGGGGGCACUUUUACCAUGACUUUUUACUCCAACUGAAGCAAUUUCACUAGGCAUUUCAUCACGCAAUUCAGCAUAUAUGUUGAUAACAUCUACUCCUUCAUGUGCAGUUAACAUUAAUUCUAUUUCUUUAUCUCCUUUAAUUUCAGCUGCUCCAACAUACAACCCACAAUUUGGUAUUUCAAAAUAUAGGUUCACAUUCGAGGCAUCACCAUACCUACUAUACAAUUUACACAACAUAUCCCUGGACAAUUUUCUUGUCUCACAAUUUUUAAAUAUGGCUACAUUGUUACCAGUAUAGACAGUUUCUGGUUCCCAUAUGAAUAUACCACCGAAAUGCAAUUUUAUAGUAAUUCUUUUUGAAGUUGUCAUUUUUUUCAAAGCCUGCAUUAGAAAUAGUGAAACACAUGAUAAGAAAAAAAAAACACAAUCUGAUUAAGAAAAGGACAUUUAAUAGAUUACACACUUCAAUGAAAACACAUGAUUACAAAAAAAUACAAUCUGAUUAAGAAAAGGACAUAUUGCAUAUCGCAUACUUCCAUGGACCACAUGACGGCCAAUAAGCCGACAAGCAAAAAUUAUUCAAUGUCCAAAUUGUCAAAACUUUAUCAGCAGCCAAAUCACUCUAUAUUAUUGAAAAUCAAGCCACCCACAUUUGACCCAAAUCUGACACUAAUCAACAAAUCUCAAACUAACAAAGUCGUAUUCUACCCAUGUUUAGUUGAAAUUCCGGUGAUUUUAGAACUCCCGAAUGCAAUUUUCUUUACCCUAAUCUUAAUGCAUAAAUUCAAUUCUAGUCGAUAAAAUACUCUAUGCUUAAAUAUGAUAAUACAGAUUGUCCCAAAGCAGCAAAAUUUUAAAUUAAUCAACGCUUAAGCAAAAUAAUCACUGAUUUAUUAACUUUCCAAUGCCCGCUAGUUUCUGUUCAAAAACCAUGCAAGUGCAUCUUAUAUGCUAAAAUGAUGUCAAAAAACUUACCAGAUGCAAUAACAGCUUUCGUGAUGCUUUUUCACAGCUACUUUUUGGUCUUCAAUGGUAGAUCUUUGUGGGUUAAAUUUCUCUCCUUCAUUCGGUGGUCAUGUUUUUCUCUCCUUUUCUCACGACAAAGACAGAACAAGGAAGAAUCUGACUCAUCUGCUUCCUUUUUGUAUUUAUAUUAGGGUAAUUUGGACAUUUUGCCCACGAAUCGUUACGGUGGGUGCUUUCCGUCUAUUUGCCAGUUCAACCCAAACCACAGGGGGUUUAUGUAUAGCUUUUUGAACGAUGGGGGGGUUAUGUGGUUUUUGCGAAAACCACAUGGGGCUAAAAUGUAAUUUGCCCAAAAAAAAAAAGAGCAGAGGGUGAGGUGGCUGCGGCAGUGGUGGUAUGGGAAGGGAGGGAAGAGGAAGAGCAGCAGUGGUGUGGUGUGGUGCGGGGAGAAAGAAGAAGAAGAGAGGAAAGAAAAGAAAAAGAAAAAAAAGGAAAAAAAAAACCAAGAUUUGGAAUUUUUUCAAACCUUCAAAUGCACAAAAGUUUUCUUACAAAUUUAUAAUAGUAACACUAACACAUAUAAAAUAGCAAUCAUUUUGGAAACAAACCCUUAGAUUUAUUAUAAUAUCACUUAGCUUAUCUAAAAUUUUUAAAAUUUUACUUUCUUCCCCUGCCAACUUGGGAAGAUCAAAUGUUCCUAUCAAAGGUCACAAAUUUACAACAAUUAUGGUUGCACUCUUUAUGACUAUUUAACUGAAAAACCGAAACAAGAAGAGAGUUUUUAAAAGACCAAAAACUAUAGAUGAAAAAGAUAACCAAAUUGCUAUCCAAUAUUGGUCGAUAUUUCUUUGUAUCAAUGUGGUGGUGGAAUAGUAAAAGACAUGGGUAAAUUAAAUUCUAGUUAAAGACAUGGGUAAUUUUUGUAGAAUAGUUAUGAGGAAAUCAAGAAAUUCUUUUAGAAAAUAUGUUCUAAUAUAGGAUAUAAUUUAAGUUAUACUAAAAAUUAAAAUAACCUCUUCAUACAUGUGGUUUGUAAUAUAAAUCCUACUUAUAGAAAAAAAUUAUAUAAAUAAGUCAGAAUUUAAAAAAUUAGUCAAAAAUGUUCUAAUGACCAAAUAUAUAUCUAGGAAUAUUCUUUUUUUUGUUAGAACAUGAUUUGUUAUACAAGGUAAUAGUUAUUGUACAUCUACAAAAUUAUUCAUUAUUGCAUUUAUAGUUGAUCGUAUUUUCAACUUUUUACUUUUCAACUUUAUUUUAUUUUUUAUUGUUGUUGUACGCUUAAUAAGUAGGAUAGCAUAAGAGUAAUAUUAGAACAAAAAUUUUAUCUUUCUUGCAUUUCCUUCAAAGGGGCUAAAAUGUAUGAAAAAUAUGAAUCCAAGAGAGGUAUGUGAGAUUUUAAAAAUUGAAAGAGUUCUAAGUGAUAUUAUGAGAAAUGUCAUGCGAGGUUUCUGAAAUUAUCCCAAAAAAAUCAUCCAAAUGAACCUUCUUGUUGUUGCAAAAUCUUUGCUUCGGAAUCCUAGUGCCAUAUUUCCAUCUUCUUUAACUCUCCAUCUCUCCACCAAAAAAAAAAAAGAAAAAAAAGAAGCAAUUUUGGUAGCGAGCUACUUUGAAUAAGAUCGUGAAAUAAUUGCAUGUAGAAAUUUGACAAGAAGUGAAAGCAAUCAAAUUUACAAUAUGCCAACAUAUAUUUUUAUAUGAACACGUAUUCUAGUAUUCCAUGAGCCAUUUUGUCUUGCCUUUCGUUCUGCUAGGAAAUGGCCAAAUCCUCCUAAUAUUUACUUCCCAAAAAAAUCCGCCAAAUAUGGCUUUGUCGGCCAUGUCGCACGACGGGGAGGUCCAGAAUAUAUUUUUUAAAAAAAAUGGCAGAGGGUCGUCGCGCCCUGGCUUUUUUUACCACACUGUCGCGCCAACGUGAUGAAACGAACCUGGCAGCUAUGCGACGAGCCUUUUUUUUUUUUCAAAUGUUUUGUAAAAAAUGUGUAGGUUCCGUUAAGUUUUUUUUUUUUUUUUUUUUUUUUGAUAAGGUGGCUUUGGUUUCUUAAGUUUUAGCAUGUUUAGGAUUUACAAUUUAUUAUUUAGGGUUUAGGAGUUGUUAAGUUUGUCGAUAAAAGGGUUUGGAUAUGGCCAUUGUAGUUAAUAAAGGAUUUAUUAAAUGAAAUGUAAUUGUAUUGAAGAAAAAAAUGAGUACAUGAAUCGCAGUUUUUGUAUUUUAGAAUUUAUAUAAAAUGCAAUAGUAUAAAAAAAUUAAUAAUAUAUUGAAAAAUUAAUAGUUAUUUAUAGAAUGCACACAUAAUGAAAGUACUUUUAUAGGUCGUUAUUUGGUAUACAAUGGUACUUGAUACUUAUAUUAAAUGAUUAAACCAGUUAAAGUGGUCAUAAAUUGACUUGUACCUCUACGUUUAAUAAAUUAAUGGAUCCUUUUAUCCAAUUAUAGAAUUUCAUCAAAUAAUUUGUACUUUUGUAUUUUGAAAAUAUGUAACGUUAUUAAACUUUAAAAUAAUUAAACAGGAAAAGUAGGACAAUUAAUUAAAUGUCAAGAUAGUAUGCAGUAUAUUGAAUGGAUGGGAUUUAAAUCUAAGUAGAAGACCGGACAAUAUCAACACUUCGGGGUUUCUUGUCUUUAUCCCUGUCUUUGGGCCUUCUUACAAGGUGUGGUGGGGGAAUAACAAUGCCUAGUAGGGGCGACGGUCCUUUGCCUUCUUUAAAAGAGAAGAAAAAUCUGGAUCGCCUGACGCUUCUAUAUGGCACAACGGGCAUGCUUUAAUACACAACUUACACAUAGUUAUAUUUGGCGGAUUUUUUUGGGAAGUAACAAAUAAUAUUCUGAGGAUUUGCCUUGGGGUAAAAGUUGCUUGUAAUUGUUAGUCUAGCUACUUGACUUCAAUAUUGAAGAUUGUCCGGCACAUAAAAUCCCAAGUCGUAGUCUCCAAGAUAUAUGUAUGAAGUGACGACGAGGUUGUUGAUAAAUCCAUUUAUGACAGCACCAUGUGCAACUCAUGAUAAUUAAAUGUAAUUUUAUUUAAAAAAUACAGAUGAAUUUUAUUAUGUUGCAGGCUAUCUUAUCGACAAAAAAAAAAAAAAAUCUCCAUUUGGCCAAAAAUCAUAAACCCAUGGGCCAAAAAAUUGGUAAACAAGUUGAGUACUACGCUUUGCAUCUUUCUCUGUAAUCAUUUUCACGAGUUUGUCGUGUAGCGUGAUAUUAUUGCGAAAGAAAGUGUUCUCUAUUAUGACAGGACCAUGUGCAACUCCUGUCAGACUCAGGAGCUUCCACCUUUCCGACUGGAUGUGUCGGCCGAAGGAAAUCACACGUCAAAUUUCAUUUGAUUUGUGGAUGGAAGGCUAUGGAAGCUGUAGGCCCCGAAGCAAAAUUAAUUGGUCCACAAGAAUUGCCAAAUUAGUUUUCUUUUUCCAAAUUCAGUUAUGCGAGUAAAUGAAAGCUUUUACAACCAUUAGUUCUUUUAAAAUGUUUUAAAGCGUAACUGCAUGCACACAUUCUAUAUUCUUUUGUCUCUUUUUCAGUUUUUAUACUCCAUCUAGGAUGUCUAAUCAUUAUUUCGUAAAAAAGGAAAAAAAAACUAUGUAUAUUUUUUCUUUAUAAUUAGUCAAUUACAAAUUGGUAAAGUUCUAAUCAAUUUCAUCCAUUAUCUAACUUGCAAGAAAGGAAAAGAUAUCUCCUAAAUACAAAGUUCAAAAGGAGUUUCUAGCCUUUUAUAAUCACGUUCACAUGAUGUUUCGGUGGAUAUCCAUUUACCCAUUUUCCGUUAAAGAAAUUUACUUAUUACAAUCUUUUUCUUUACACUCCUCUAAAAUAGUAUGGAAUAUUAUCAUAAUUCUUCACAUGUCAUUAUUAAACCGAGGGUUAAGGUUUGUUGGAAAGUAAUCAAUAAAUAGUAUAUGAGUUAAUUAUUCUUAAUAACUUUCAAAGUAUGUUUUAUGUUUAGUGUCUUACAUUCAUUAAAUUUAUUGUUUUGGUUCAUUUAUAUCCAUGUUUUUUUGGAAAAUUAAAGUUUGAAGCUAAAAAGAAGUUAAUGCAAAUGCACGGCUGAAUAACUAGUGGUCUAAUUCUAUUGCUUGCUUAUCCACAAGAACGACCACGCCAACACUACUACAUUAAUACACUCAUACUUUUGCAUUUCUUAAUUACUUGCAUUACUUAUUCUUUCUUCCCAACAAUUCUACAGCCCAUAAUCAUCAUUCCAAUUUUAAUUCAGUAAUCUUCAUACAGCUCUGAACAUAUAACUAUAUUUAAUAUAAAUUCGUGUCAUUCCUGCAUUUCAAUUCUCAAAAUCUUAUUGCAUGCCUUACUUUAUAAUGGUGUUUAAUUACUUAAGUUCAUAAACAAUCAUUAGUAUCAAAAUCAUAAACUUGUAUCGCACAAUAGGAUGCUCUUCGCAUCAUUAUCAGAAGUUUAGCAAUUAAUCUUCGUCAUGUCACAAGUAAUUUCAAUUUCGCAGCUAGGGGUGAAAUUGCAAAGCAUUUGGUUAAUCGGAUGUUCGAACAAAUUUAAUUAAUUAAAUUUAAUAUGAAUUCAGUUCGGUCAAAUAGAUUUUGAUAUGGCCUUGGUAAAAACAAAAUUAUGAGAGUGCUUAAUUAGUUUGAAAGUAACUCGGAAUUCUAGAUUUUUUAUUUUAAUUGAUAUAGCACGCGUACACAUACUAUGUUACACAUGUUCACUCCACGUUGUUGUGGAUAUUGAAUAUUCUUAAUUACUAUUAUCUUUUAUUCUUUUUUUUUUCCAUCAUCUCUUCACUUUCCUUCUUUCUUUUUCUUGAUCACUUGCAUUUUGUGGAAUUAUUUUUCAUAUUUCCAAUAGUUUGCUUUACUUGCUUUUCCAUAUUUGUAAUUAUUUUCGUUAAUAUUGUGACAGCCCCACCUUCCCCUAAGGCGAACCAAAGGGUUUAGCGGACUGCCAGCCCAACUCUCGCUGGGACUCAGUCAGUCAUUUCAAGAAAAGACGAUAAAAUCCACAAAACAAUUGAAAUAACAAUAAUUCCAAACUUAAACGUAAACUUAUAUAUAUUUCUAUCUCAAAAGCAACACAACUCAAGUACAAAGGUUCUCCUUUCUCCAUACAACCAGCCCGCCAACCGCUAGGACAAGAACCAUUACAAAAGAAAUAUCAAAACUAGACCAAACUAGUCUAUACGGAGCUCUCGUCCUUGCGCGCCUUCCCCUGUUAAGGAAAACAACUAAAGGGAUAAGCUAAAAGCUCAGUGAGGUUCUGAACACAUAAACAAACAAUAAACUCAAAGCAUAGAACACCAAUAAUUCAAGUAACAUUUACAAUAUAAAGCGGUAACAUAUUCAUUAAAGGAUACGUGCUCACAAGGAGCCAUUCAUUCAUUCGUUCAUUCAUUCAUUCUCCUUUCAUUCCUUUAUUCCUCCAAUCAUUUGAAAAUGCAUCUUUGUAAGUAAAAACCCUCGUUCAUUCAUUCGUUCAUUCAUUUCAUUCACUCCCUUCCCGGACAUUGACCAGGCUCCACCAAACUUCAAGGUAAUACUCGAGUAUACCAAACGUUCACCCAAGUCACCAAAUCGCCAGACCGAGUUCGCUUCUGGCUCGAGUCGAUCGGUAACAAGGGGCAAGGCCCAGUUCAGCCAGAAGGCUUACAUUCAUGCACAAGUAACACUUCAAUCGUUCCAUCAUUGAAAACUUCACAAUCAUUUAGGCCGAGUGCGAUGAAGUACACACUCGCCUAAAAACUUGUUUUAGCAAUCAUUGAAAGCAUUUAACAUGUUAUCAAUUAUUCAGACAAGCCAUAUAAUCAAGAAAUAUAACAAACAAGGAACACUCACCUAGUUAUGCAAAAUAACGUCCAAAAUAUCCUACCGGGUAUUACCCUCAGUUACCAAUGAAACUUAAAAUUAAACAAGAGAAACUAUUACAGUUUAUCUAGCAAAACAAUUAAGGGAAAUUGAAGGAACCUGACUAAUUACGAAUACAACAUAUAAAGAUGACUUUCAAGUGAAAAGAGAGCAUUUGGAUUCCGUGGACGGGAAUAAUUAGGGUUUCAUAAACCAAACGAGAAACUAAACUCAAAAGAGUUAUAAAAGUUCCAACGGAAAACACUUGGACCAAAUACAAGUCGGAAUCCAACUAGAUAGGCUAAGAAAUAUUGUUUUCAGAAUCGCUUAUGUGGUUCAAAAUCAACUCAUAUUUGAGUAGAUAUUAGUUUUCAAAUAUCUCAAUGAAAAUCAUGUAAAAAGGAAGACACUAAAAGCCUUACUUUGAAAGUAGUUUCCCGUAACCAAGAAAACCCCAAUUCAUACCUCUUUAUUUUGGUAAACAGUAAGUAAACGUUGGAAGUGUCAAACUGGAGAGGUAUUAUAUUUUAGAAUGGUAAAAUGGUCAUGAUAUUCAUUAAGCAGAAAUAUAGGAGUUCAAAUAGAAAAUAGCUUCUCGAACACCCUUCGAGAGCACAAAUGUAGUUUUCAAAGAAGUACAUUCAAUUUGACACAAAAAUUACAUUUUCACAUUCACUGGAACUUACUCACAAUUCACGAAAGUAAACGGACGGCAUUUCCCCUUAAAUUCUUUAUUUCACCUUACAAUCAAAAUACCCAACCUUACAAGAAUUAACCACAAUCACAAAUUCGGUUUAUAAACAAUAAAACACAUCCAAUUGGGUCACAAUAUCCCUCAAUUAAAGCCAAUUAGAAGUUCAAAAGCCAACUAUUAGAAAACCCCCAAUUUAAACCCUAGAAACCGGAAUUUAUCCCAACAAGCGUAAAUUUUCCGCAAACGAUUGUAAUUAACGAAUAAAGUUGCAAUUAACACCAUUUAGAGCUAUCAAAUCAAAGCCAAUCCAUGACUAUUAUAUAAAAUCGGAAAAAUCCCCAAUAAAUCAGAAAAUGGCCCAACUUGACCUAAAACCAUGAAAUCAUCCACAAUAUAACAAUCUUAACCACUAGAAACGACCAUGAUAUCAUUAUUAAGAUCAAGGAGAAAGUUCCUUAGCAUCUCACCUUAAUCCCAAGAAAGAUAGCACCUUAAAGCUUUUCCCUUCAAAAUCACUCCACCAAGAGUUUUAAUCCCUCUUAACUAACACUUGUACGGAGUAGAAUAAAAAUCUAUCGGUGAAAUCUCAAGAUUGAAGCAAAAAUUGAAAUUAGAAAAUGAAACCUUUUCUUGGUUUUUCCUCUCAAGAGCCAUGGUUGAGCAAGGAGCAAAAUGAAGAUAUUUUGGACCAAAACAAGAUAAGAAGGAAGAAAAAUCGCUGGUCAAAGCUGCUGUCCCAUCACAAUCCGGCCAGAUUCCUGGGCGGAUUCAGGGCAAUAGCGAAACUCAAUUUUUUCAAAAAUCUCAAACAAUCCGGCCAAUAUCUGGCCGGAUUUGGUACUAAGCAGUUUCGACAAAAUUUUUCGUUUCCAAAAUCACACGCCGCGUUCAUCCGUACUCCCAGAAAGUAUAUAUAUCCAUAAUCUUAUACAAAUACACUUAAUACACACCAUCACAUGUUCAUGUAUAAGAAAUGAAAACCCUCCUUAACAAUGGAUAGCCAAUUCUCUUCAUUUUCUUCAAGGAAAGUGAAAUUAAACAAAAUACCAAGAAAAUGUGAAAAUUUUGGGUUCUCACAAAUAUCAAUUUCAUCAUAUUUAUGACUAACAAUCUAACAGGGAUUUAUGCCUUUACAAAUUGUUAAUUAUUUGGUUAAAAAACCUUUCAAAAGAUUUGUUUUAUUGUAUGGCAAUUUUUGGGGACCAAUUAAUUUUGCUUCAAGCCCCACAUUUUCCUUGCUAAGUGUGUUGUGAGGUUACACGUGGCCUUGUUGGGAUUGUGCCUUUUUUUGCAGAAAAAUUUUUAUAUUUUUUUACAAUUAUCAUUUUAUCUCAGAAACAUCAAAUCGUUACAGUAUAUUUUUUUACAAAAACUCCUAAAAAUAGCAAUACAAAUGGAGCUCUUGCAGCCACAAAUCAAAUGAAUUUUGACGUCAUUUUUAGUGUGACUUCCUUCUUCUGACACGUAUCCACUUUGUAUGGUUGGAACAUCCCGCUAUAGAAGAUCCGGUCGGUCGUGGCCAAUAAUGGGAUAGCAUAGCUUUUUGCCCAAUCACUUAAGCACGGCAAGAAGUAUUUUUUUUUUUAAUUUUACUUUUAAAUAGCGGCAAUAAGUUAUUAACAAAAGAUAAUAUGCUAGUUCUAAUACUAUGACGCUAUUCCCGUUUCCUCUAGAGGAUUUUUCAGCCAACAAACUCCUCCAACUGCCUUCCUCAAGUCUUUCUAGGGUUCUUUCUAUUUGUUUCUGUAAUACACUUUCUGACAAAUUUUCAAUCCUAGUAUUUUCUCAGUGGAAAUAUCUUUUUUUCUUAGUGAGAAUUUUUGUUUUUUGUUUUUUAGUUUUUAUUAGAUUUAAGUUUAUUCAAGUCUAAACUUUCUCGUAGGGCUUGAAAAUCUGUCUGGGAAGGCUUACAAUUCAUUUGCAACUACAAACAUUUAUAUGCAUUUAAUUAUAAGAAAAUUUGGAGCUUUCUAGUUUUUUUUUUUUUUUGUUAUUGGUUUCUCUGAUUUGAAGGAAGUCACUUCUAUUUGCAUUUCCAUUGCGUCUUUUUCAUGUAUUUUCUCCUAUUUGUACAGCUUUUAUGUGAAUAAAUAAAAUUCUCUUCUUCGUUAAAAUAAAUGAAAGAAAAUAUGAAGGAGAAAUUAAUUGAUCUAAUUGACAAUAUGUCUUUAUCAAUAGAUGCCUCCUCAGAUAUUCUCAAAAACUUCCAUACUCUAACUAUCAUUAUUUUUACACAAUAGUAUUUCUUUAACAAUUACUAGCAUUUCUAUUUUGUAAUUUGAACUACUUUCUUUCCAUCUUUGGUACACUUAUAGUUGCAAUUAUCUUAUGUUAAAUUCAAUAACUUUCAACUACAUGUUAUGGUGAGAGAUAUUUGUUUGACAUGAUAUAAACCUAAGAAGAAAAGAAUUCAAUUUGAAAACACACGUAAGACAAUAUAUAUAGGUCCAUGUACAUAAACCAAAGACCAAAAUUAUAUCAUCUCAGUAAGCACAUUUAAUAAUAUUCCCUGGAGUAUUAAAAUUAAGCAUAAGUUAAACAUUUUAUCUGGAAAUGUCUCCUAAUAAUCUUAUAUGUGAAUGAAAUAAUUAGGCAGAGAAUUGGGAAACGGAAAGACUUGAGCAUAUGCUCUUUUUCUGUGAAAUUGCACAACAAAUAUGGUAAGUAGCACCAACCCAGUGGGAUGGCCUAGGAAAUAGAAGCAACCUCUGCCAUUGAUGAGGGGAGUUGAUGGAAGAAAACGCAUUGCUUUGAACUGUAAACCUGCGCAGAUUUGCAAAGAAAGGAGGUUGUUCAAGUGUUAAUUUAGUGGCCAUGACACCACCUGGACGGUCGGACCAUUCAGUACUGACAGAGCCAUGUUAAGUCAAGGGCGGAGCCAUGUUAGAGAUCAAUAAUCAGAGGCUUACAAAAUUUCGUAAUUUUUCAAUUUAGCUCACAUUUGCACUGACAAAUUUUGUAAAAAUUUUAUUUUGCUCUUGCAUUGCCCCUUAGAGCAUCUACAAUGGUUUACACCCUUUAGGGUGUAAUCCACAUGCCACAUCAGCAUUUCACUAUCUCCUCUUUUUAUUACACUCUUAUCCACAAUGGAUUACACUCACAGAAUAUAAUAGCAUGGAUCCACAUGCCGCAUCAGCAUUCCACUAUCUCCUCUUUUAUUAUACUCUCUCCCCUCUUUUAUUUUAACAAUGCAUAACUCAUAACCCAUAAAUAAAUAAAUUUAUUAUUUUAAAAAUGGUUAUUUUUAAAAAUAAAUUAUUGACGUGACACCUCAAAAUGUGAAAAUAUCAUAAUAAUCCAUUAUUCAUUAAUAAUACCCUAUCUACUGAAUUUAACUGCACGACAUAAUAUUAAAAUUAAAUAAAAUACCAAUAAUAAUAUAACGAAUACUAAUUUUUAUUAUUAUUGCCUCCAAAUCGUUCCCAAAAAUGCUCGAACAAAUCCAACAGAAGUUGAUGAUGUACUUUCCGAUCACGUAGUUUCGCAUUCCUCUGAAGAUAAUGGUGAAAAUUUUCGACUUGAGUCACAGGGAUCGUUGGUUCUUCAUCAUCAUUAUCCCAGUUUUUUAUUGCAUCUCCCUCAUCCUCGACAAUCAUAUUAUGCAAUAUGAUGCAUGUGUAUACUAUAUCUUUCAAUUUAGCUUUAUGCCAAAAUCGAGCUGGGCCACGUACAAUUGUCCAACGAGAUUGGAGCACUCCAAAAUCUCGCUCGACGUCUUUUUUUUGCAGCCUCCUGUAUUUGCUUAAAUUUGAUCCUCUUUGGAUCUUUAGGAGAUGUAAAACUUUUAACAAAUGUUGUCCAUUCUGGAUAUAUGCCAUCUGCUAGACAAUAUCCUUUGUUGUACUGUGUGCCGUUUACCAUAAAUUGAAUAUCAGGAGCAUAUCCGUGUAACACGUCGUUAAAUAGUGGAGAUUGAUUGAGUACAUUAAUGUCAUUGUUAGAUCCCGCGAUGCCAAAAAAUGCAUGCCAUAACCACAAAUUUGCUGAUGCAAUUGCUUCUAGCAUUAUUGUGGGAGAUCCUUGAUCACCUCGAGUAAAUUGACCUUUCCAUGCCACGGGACAAUUCUUCCAUUGCCAAUGCAUGCAGUCAAUGCUACCAAGCAUUUUGGGGAAACCAUGGCGCUCAGAAUGCAAUUGAAGUAAACGUUCAACAUCAUUAGUAUUAGGCCUUCUCAAGUAUUGUGCUCCAAAAAUAUCGAUCACGCACCAACAAAAUUGUGACAAACAUUCGAUUGCAGUGCAUUCACACAUCCUUAUGUACUCGUCCAAUUGGUCAGCAGGUGCUCCAUAUGCUAAUUGUCGGAUAGCUGCUGUGGUUUUUUGAAGUGGAGAAAGUCCUCUUUUGCCAGCUGCAUUGACCCUCAUUUGAAAAAACUCUGAAUGAUUUGUCAUCGACUCCACAAUUCGAAGGAAUAAUUCCCUUCUCAUUCAAAAUCGUCAGCGGAAUAUAUGUGAAGGAUACACUGGCUCGUUGGUGAAAUAGUCAUUAACAAGUCGAACAUGUCUAACACCACGCUCUCAAUUGUAAUAUCUUCGACUGUGUGGACGGAUGUUACGACUUGAAGAUGUAUGUUGCGUUUGCCAUUGCUCCAACAUCUUCAUAAUUUGAUCAUCAAUGUCAUCCAUCAUUUCAUCGGCUAAAAACUUUUAAAUUUCUUCUAUAAGAGAGAUAUCAGGAUAUUAAUACAUUUUUUGAGUCUGUUGAGUAUUUGGUGGCAAUGUAUUGCGUCUUGCCAAUACAAAUAUAGUGCUAGUGUUAUAACGGCUAGUUUUCCAACGGCUCAUUUUUCUAACGGCUAAUUUUCCAACGGCUAGUCUUCUGACUUAUUAUAAUGAAUAUAUAUAAUAUAUAUUUAUAUAAUUAAUAUUAUAUUUAUAUUAUAUAAUAUAUUUAUAAUUGUUAUAUACAUAUACAUAAUAUAUUAUAUAAAUAUAUAUUACAAUUAUUUAAUUAAGUAUAAUUAUAUUUAUCUAAUAUAAAUUAUAAGUUUAUGAAUAUUAUAUUAAUUUAAAAUGAUGAAAUUUAAAACUUCGUUAGCUUGGUUUCAAAUCCAUGGCCGGAUUUCAUAGUUUGGUUUCGAAUCCAUGACUGGAUUUCAUAACCUCGUUCCAAAUCCAUGGCUGGAUUUUAUAUGUUGGUUUCGAAUCCAUAGCUGGAUUUCAUAACCUGGUUUCGAAUCCAUGGCAGGAUUUCAUAAAUUGGUUUCAAAUCCAUGGCCAGAUUUUAUAGCUUGGUUUCGAAUCCAUGGUCGGAUUUCAUAGCUUGUGUCUAGUUACGCCAUAAAUGUACUACAUAAGUGAUUAAUAUGAUACAACAUGGUUUUUUCUGCAUCUUAUUGCACCGUAUAGUAAAAUAAAAUUAAAAAUAGACUAAGAAAUAUUAUAUUUGGCUUUUAGGAUGAAGCACAUUUGCUCAUGAAUUCGAAGCUGUUAAUCGGUCAUACCCGUGGUAUCCUUGAGUAAUAUUUCAUAAUCACUUUGAAAAUUAUAACUUUAUAACUUAUUUGCCAAGUUUUCCAUAGCCUGCAAUUUUUCUUCUUUUUGCUGCAUCAACACUUUUCGGAUUUGAUCAAAUUCCUCACUCACAUUUGAUUUUGCCUUUUUCUUUCCCUUCUUUGAUGCUUUUUGACCAGGUGGGUGAACUUCACGUGCUUCAUUAUCAUUGAUGUCAAAAUUUGAAUUCGUAUUGGAUGAAUAAGUGUAUGCCCCGCUUUCAUCGGUUAUUAUCUUUUUUGAAGAACGUUGCAUAGGAGUAUUUACUUUCCACUUCGGAUCAUUUUUCAACAACACCCACACAUGUUCAUGUAAAAAAUGCUUGUUAUUAUUCUGAUGAAAUAGCUCACGUGCGUGUUGCUUGAUCUAGUCAUCAUUCCACCUGCUAUGAUGUUUGCCGACCAAUCUGUUGUAAUAUUGGUUGAACUCAUUAACCAUCCGACUCAACCAAUGCCAAUGUGAUUUCACUGCUUUAUAUUUUCGUGGUGGUCCAGAUUUUCGAUUCUCAUUGAAGUAGUCGACGACUCAUUUCUAAAAACUUUUUUCAUUUUGAGAGUUACCCACAACGCUGCAAUUUGAAAUUGUGAGCCAAGCACUUGCAAGAAUCUUGUCAUCAUCCACACUCCAUGGAACACAUUUACGGUCAGGUUCUUCCACCGCCUCAUUUGUGAGAUUUAUAUUUUCUACCUCACGUUGUGUUGAAUACGGUGGAAAUUGAGAAUCCUAAAUUGACUCUGUUGGUGUUGCAUUAUCUUGUUGACUGGCGAAAUCAAAAUCCUUCCUUAUCUCCGACGGAGUCGUUGAGCCUUCACAACCCAUACCAAGGUUAUAAUACCUCGGUGUAUAGUGAUUUCCCAUAGAAUGAUUAAAAUAAUUAGGUGACGGAUACAUGGGAAUUUGAUAUGGAAAAUGUGGUGGAUUUUGGAAAUUUGAUGAAUGAUUGGAAUUGGGUAAAUUUGGGUAAUUUGGAAUUGGAAAUGGAUAAUUUGGCAAAUUUGGAUAAUUUUGGUGGUUUUGAUUUUGUGAAGCGGAUGAAUUUUCUAUAUUUGGACUAUUUAACAUAUUUCUAAAACUACUAAGAUUCUCAUCUAUAAUGAUAAAAUACUGAAAUUUAUAAAAUUAUGUAAAGAGAUUGAAAAUAAUGAAUAAGGGAGUAGGAGAGAUAAUGGAGUAGAAGAUUGUGAGGUGAAAUAAAAAAAUUAAUUUGUGUAUUUAUAGGAAGUAAAAUAAAUUAUCCGUUGCUAAAAUAUAGCUGUUGUAAAAAAAGGCCAUUGUCAAAUGAUUGGUUCCAAAAAUGACCAUUGUAAAAUGUUUCAAAAAAUGACCAAGUAAAAUGCUGUCUCAUUUUGGCUAUUUGGAUGUUUGCUAGUAUUGUAAUGCCGUUUGGAUCCCAUAACAUCUUCAAUGACACGCAUCAUCAAUAUUGUACGUGUCAUCUAAUCAGUAUUGUGCGUGUAAUCUCCAUGACACGGUCAUAACAUCUUCCAUGACACGUAUCAUCAAUAUUGUACGUGUCAUCUAAUCAGUAUUGUGCGUGUAAUCUCCAUGACACGGUUGGUCUUCCAACCGUGUCAUGGAGCGGUGUAAUGGGGGGAUUAUACCCCCAUUAUACAUUGCUGUGGAUGCUCUUAAAACAGCUAACGUAUUUGAAAAGUAGAAUGGACCAGCUAAAUAACCAAGAUGCCGCCGAUUACAAUAAUUUGCAUGGUGAGUUCUUGGUAGUAGUUAUUUAGUGACUUCCAAGCCUUUGCUCAUUAUAAAUACCGGCCCCCUCCACAUUCCAAACAUACUCAACCACCUUCCUUGUGCUACAUUCUGCUAUCUUCUGCCACCACCACCACCCCCACUACUCCCAGAAAAUGGAAAGCUUUUCUCCCACCUGGGCUGUAUAUGCACUCGCCUGGGUUGCAACGGUGGUUAUCGCCCAUCUCUCGAAGCAUUUCCAUCAGCAAAAACUCAACCUCCCACCGGGUCCAAGGCAAUGGCCUAUAAUUGGAAACUUAAACCUCAUUGGCACCCUUCCUCAUCGUUCACUCCAUCAACUCUCCCUAACAUAUGGUCCCCUAAUGCACCUUCAAUUCGGCACCUUCCCAGUUGUCGUUGGCUCCUCCGUGGAGAUGGCCAAAGUUUUCCUCAAAACCAUGGACGUCACAUUUGCAGGGAGGCCUAAAACUGCAUCCGGAAAAUAUAACUCUUAUGAUUGCACCGACAUGACUUGGUCCGCUUACGGACCAUAUUGGCGCCAGGCACGUAAGAUUUUCCUUACGGAAUUAUUCAGUGCAAAAAGACUCGAAUCAUAUGAACAUAUUCGGGUGGAAGAAAUGAAUUCGCUUCUGCUACAGCUAUUCAAGUCAUCAGGCAAGCCUGUCGUGUUGAAAGAUUAUCUUUCAACAGGAAGUUUGAACGUGAUUAGCAGGAUGGUCCUGGGGAAAACAUACAUUGAUGAGUCUGAGAACUCAAUUGUCACGCCCGACGAGUUCAGGCAAAUGAUGGACGAGCUUUUUUUGCUGACUGGUGUGUUUAACAUUGGUGACUUCAUACCUUGGAUCGAUUUCUUGGAUUUGCAGGGGUAUAUCAAGAGGAUGAAAAUCUUGAGCAAGAAAUUUGAUAGGUUUCUGGAGCAUGUUCUCGAUGAGCAUAAUGCCCAAAGGAAGGACGACACUAAUUGCGUCAGCAAGGACUUGGUGGACGUCCUUCUGGGCCUUGCAGAUGAUCCCACUUUGGAGGUGAAGUUAGAGAGGCGUGGAGUCAAGGCAUUGACUCUGGUAUAUGUUACUUACAAACUGCACAACGCAUGCUGUCAACUUUUAAACGACUGAAAACUUGAGAGAAAAUAGUCAGUGAUCUUUUGAACUUGAAUACUCCUCAAAAUUUUCUUUGCUACUGAAAACUUGAGAGAAAGUAGUCAGGAUCUUUGUAGUUUGAUGAAAAUUUUUCAGUGGAGGCAGAAUUAACAAGAAAAUUCUUUUUAAUCCUUCUAAAAGAAAUUGCUUUUGAUAAAGGUACUCAAGUAAGUAAGAAAAUUGUUGGCCAAGUACAGUCAAUUUGCAACUUAAAAACGUUUCUUGCUGCACUUUGCGUAAUGAUUGAACUCUAGGACCUACUUGCUGGUGGAACCGAGACCUCAGCGACUACAGUAGAAUGGGCCAUUUCGGAGCUACUGAAAAACCCAGAAAUAUUCAACAAGGCAGCCGAAGAACUCGACCGUGUUAUCGGUCAGAAUCGAUGGGUGAACGAGAAGGACAUGCCAAAUCUUCCUUACAUAGAGGCUGUUGUUAAAGAAACAAUGCGUAUGCAUCCCGUGGUCCCAUUGCUAGUGCCAAGAUGUGCUCGCGAAGAUUGCAAAGUUGCAGGGUACGAUAUUCAAAAGGGAACUCGAGUCAUCGUCAACGUUUGGUCAAUUGUGAGGGACCCUGAAUUGUGGGAGAAGCCAGAGGUAUUUUGCCCCGACAGAUUCAUGGGAAAGGACAUUGACUUCAAAGGGCAAGACUGUAAGUUCUUGCCAUUUGGUGCUGGAAGAAGAAUGUGCCCAGGGUAUAGUUUAGGCCUCAAGGUUAUCCAAUCUAGUUUGGCCAAUCUUUUACAUGGAUACAGAUGGAAGUUGCCAAAUGACAUGAAACCUGAGGACCUGGACAUGGAAGAAAGAUUCGGCAUUACUACACCAAGAAAAAUCCCACUUGUUGCCAUUGUUGAGCCUCGGCUUCCUCGUAAUCUUUAUUGACUAUGAUUCACUACGUGUAUGUUUGAUCUCCCAGUAUCAUCAUUAUCAACUUGUGUUCAAAUAAAUCAGCUCUGCAAGUUUAGAAUUUGUAGCUGCGCUUAUAUGUGUUUGCCAAUUGCUACAACGCUACAAACCCUUGUAGUUGGUGCAUGGCAUAUGCGUAAUCACUGAGAUUGUUAUGCGUAUUGAAUUCCAAAUUUGUUCACAAUUAUGUGAAACUGUGAAUAUGCACACCCCUGAUGUUUCAAAUACAUUCUAUAAAAUUCUGAUGCUAAUUUAAAUCUGCAAUAGCAGGCACACAGUCAAAGCAAUGUGCUCUCUGCCAUCUUUCCUCUUAGCAUCUUCCAUCAAUUCCUGUGCACCUCUAAGCCAUGCCACUGGAUUGGUGCUACUUUCCGUACUUGUUGGGGGGAAGAGAGAAAGAGAAAAAAAAAAGAGCGGAGGGUGAGGUGGCUGCGGCAGUGAUGGCAUGGGAAGGGAGGGAAGAGGAAGAGCAGUAGUGGUGUGGUGCGGAGAGACAGAAGAAGAAGAGAGGAGAGAAAAGAAAAAAGAAAAAAAAGGGAAAAAAAGCAAGAUUUGGAAUUUUUUCAAACCGUCAAAUGCACAAAAGUUUUCUUAAAGUUUUAUAGUAAAGUGUUAUUCUUGGUUUUGAUGAUCACAAAAGUUUGUUUAUACAGACCAAGAAAGUGAACACUUUGAUCAGGUCUGUUGGAACAAAGAAAGCGUAUGUUCGUUUAUCUCCUGACUACGUUGCUUUGGAUUUGGAUGUGGCAAACAAGAUUGGAAUAAUAUGAAUGAAUUUAGUCAUUGUUUUGUUUUCGAUCAAA
rnacentral:lncRNA from 1 species